rnacentral:rRNA from 1 species
UACGUAGGGUGCGAGCGUUGUCCGGAAUUAUUGGGCGUAAAGAGCUCGUAGGCGGUCUGUCGCGUCGGUCGUGAAAACUUGGGGCUUAACCCUGAGCUUGCGGUCGAUACGGGCAUGACUGGAGUUCGGUAGGGGAGACUGGAAUUCCUGGUGUAGCGGUGAAAUGCGCAGAUAUCGGGAGGAACACCAAUGGCGAAGGCAGCUUGCUGGGACGGUACUGACGCUGAGACGCGAAAGCGUGGGGAGCAAACAGG